CUGGCUCAGAACGAACGCUGGCGGCAGGCCUAAAACAUGCAAGUUGAACGGCUGUAGCAAUACAGCAGUAGCGCACGGGUGAGUAAUAUAUGGGAACAUGUCUUUUGGUGGGGAAUAUUCUCUGGAAACGGAGAGCAAUACCGCAUAAGCCCUACGGGGGAAAGAUUUAUCGCCGAUAGAGUGGCCCAUAUUGGAUUAGCUAGUUGGUUGGGUAACGGCUGACCAAGGCGACGAUCCAUAGCUGAUCUGAGAGGAUGAUCAGCCACACUGGGACUGAGACACGGCCCAGACUCCUACGGGAGGCAGCAGUUAGGAAUAUUGGACAAUGGGGGCAACCCUGAUCCCAGCCAUGCCGCGUGAGUGUUAAGGCCUUCGGGUUGUAAAGCUCUUUUGUAUGGGAAAAUGAUGAUGGUACCAUAAGAAUAAGCACCGGCUAACUUCGUGCCAGCCGCGGC
rnacentral:rRNA from 1 species